rnacentral:tRNA from 1 species
AUUAUAUUGGCAGAUUAGUGCAUUAAAUUUAGAAUUUAAUUAAAUUAUAUUAAAUAAAUAUAAUA